rnacentral:rRNA from 1 species
UACGUAGGGGGCAAGCGUUGUCCGGAAUCAUUGGGCGUAAAGGGCGUGUAGGCGGCUCGAUAAGUCCGCUGUGAAAGUCCAGGGCUCAACCCUGGAAGGCCGGUGGAAACUGUCGGGCUAGAGUCCGGAAGAGGCGAGUGGAAUUCCCGGUGUAGCGGUGAAAUGCGCAGAUAUCGGGAGGAACACCAAUGGCGAAGGCAGCUCGCUGGGACGGUACUGACGCUGAGACGCGAAAGCGUGGGGAGCAAACAGG